rnacentral:rRNA from 1 species
UACGUAGGGUGCGAGCGUUGUCCGGAAUUAUUGGGCGUAAAGGGCUCGUAGGCGGUUUGUCGCGUCGGGAGUGAAAACCUCGGGCUUAACUCGGGGCUUGCUUUCGAUACGGGCAGACUGGAGGUAUGCAGGGGAGAACGGAAUUCCUGGUGUAGCGGUGAAAUGCGCAGAUAUCAGGAGGAACACCGGUGGCGUAGGCGGUUCUCUGGGCAUUACCUGACGCUGAGGAGCGAAAGUGUGGGGAGCGAACAGG